ensembl:lncRNA
GUGUGUGACUUUAUAAAACUGUAACAGGACGCUACGGAGCGUGAACCUCCACAAGAUGUGGAAAAACAUGCGAGGUGUCAUGCCAGUGAACCUAGCGAUGAACUAUCCUAGCUAUCUAUAGCUUAGGGAACCAUCUUGCAGUCGCUAGUGUGUGUUAAACCACUUAAGGUUAUUUAACUAUCCUAGCUAUCUGUAACUUAGGGAACCAUCUUGCAGUCGCUAGUGUGUGUUAAACCACUUAAGGUUAUUUAACUAUCCUAGCUAUCUCUAGCUCAGGGAACCAUCUUGCAGUCGCUAGUGUUUGUUAAACCACUUAAGGUUAUUUAAUAGUUUCCUUAGCUAGCUAGCCAAUUAGCUUGCAUAGCAACUAGGCACCAAAGUAAAAUUUCUCAAAAUCAGUUGAGAAAGAGAAAAUCUAAAAUACAGUCUUCAAAGGGACCACUUGAGGAUGAUGUUAAAUGGCUUCACAUAGACAUUAAACAAUCCUGCGUGAAAUAAUGGGACAUCAGUGGAGCAAGGGCUUACUCUGAUACCAAUGUAGUGAAAUAUCAGUGGAGUAAGGGCUUACUCUGAUACCAAUGUAGUGAAAUAUCAGUGGAGCAAGGGCUUACUCUGAUACCAAUGUAGUGAAAUAUCAGUGGAGUAAGGGCUUACUCUGAUACCAAUGUAGUGAAAUAUCAGUGGAGUAAGGGCUUACUCUGAUACCAAUGUAGUGACUGAAUGGGG